AAAUCAAGCGCGAAAAGGGCGUUUGGUGGAUGCCUUGGCAGCAAGAGGCGAUGAAGGACGUGAUACUCUGCGAUAAGCUAGGGGGAGCCGAGAAUAGGCUUUGAUCCCUGGAUCUCCGAAUGGGGCAACCCACCUGAAUGUUUGUUAUUGUUACCUUUUGGUACUCAAUAACAUUCAUAACCAGGUACUUUUAACCUGAAUACAUAGGGUUUUAAGAGCAAACCCGGGGAACUGAAACAUCUAAGUACCCGGAGGAAAGGAAAUCAAUUGAUACUCCCCUAGUAGCGGCGAGCGAACGGGGACCAGCCGAGCCUGAUGAGUGACUAGAACAUGUUGGGAAGCAUGGCCAUAGCGGGUGAUAGCCCCGUAUAGGAAGCUCUGAAGGACGUAUUAAGUAGGGCGGGACACGUGAAAUCCUGUCUGAAGAUCGGAGGACCACCUUCGAAGGCUAAGUACUCCUUGCUGACCGAUAGCGAACCAGUACCGUGAGGGAAAGGUGAAAAGCACCCCGACGAGGGGAGUGAAACAGUACCUGAAACCGGACGCCUACAAUCAGUCGGAGGAUCUUUACGAUCUGACGGCGUACCUUUUGUAUAAUGGGUCAUCGACUUGGUCUAACUAGCAAGCUUAAGCCGUUAGGUGUAGGCGCAGCGAAAGCGAGUCUUAAUAGGGCGUUGAGUUAGUUGGAUCAGACCCGAAACCGAGUGAUCUAGGCAUGACCAGGAUGAAGACAAGGUAACACUUGUUGGAGGUCCGAACCCACACCUGUUGAAAAAGGUCGGGAUGAGUUGUGCCUAGGGGUGAAAGGCCAAUCAAACUCGGAGAUAGCUGGUUCUCCGCGAAAUCUAUUUAGGUAGAGCGUCAUCCGAAUACCCCGGGGGGUAGAGCACUGGAUGGGUAAUGGGGCCCCACAGGCUUACUGAUCCUAACCAAACUCCGAAUACCCGGGAGUACUAGAUGGCAGACACACGGCGGGUGCUAACGCCCGUCGUGGAGAGGGAAACAACCCUGACCUCCAGCUAAGGCCCCUAAUUCAUGGCUAAGUGGGAAAGCAGGUGGGACGACCAAAACAACCAGGAGGUUGGCUUAGAAGCAGCCAUCCUUUAAAGAUAGCGUAACAGCUCACUGGUCUAAUUAAGUUGUCCUGCGGCGAAGAUGUAACGGGGCUCAAGCCAUGAGCCGAAGCUGAGGACUGCAUAGCAGUGGUAGCGGAGCGUAGUGUGACAUAGCACUUGUCUUUACUACCGACCUUCGAGACGAAGGCGCAGGCAACUGUGCUCAAGUAGCGAAGCGGUAGCACAAGACAAAGUGCUUUCGAUGAAGCCGGGCUGUAAGGCAUCCGGUGGAGAGAUCACUAGCGAGAAUGAUGACAUGAGUAGCGACAAAGAGUGUGAGAGACACUCUCGCCGAAAGUCCAAGGGUUCCUGCUUAAAGCUAAUCUGAGCAGGGUAAGCCGGCCCCUAAGGCGAGGCCGAAAGGCGUAGUCGAUGGGAACCAGGUUAAUAUUCCUGGGCCAGGAGGAAGUGACGGAUCCUUACUGUAGUUCACACUUAUCGGAUUGUGUGGGCUGCUGCGGGGUCCCUGGAAAUAGCCCUCCAUGAGACCGUACCCUAAACCGACACAGGUGGACUGGUAGAGAAUACCAAGGCGCUUGAGAGAACAACGUUGAAGGAACUCGGCAAAAUACCUCCGUAAGUUCGCGAGAAGGAGGCCCAGUUUCUACGCAAGUAUUGGCUGGGGGCACAAACCAGGGGGUGGCGACUGUUUACUAAAAACACAGGGCUCUGCGAAGUCGCAAGACGACGUAUAGGGUCUGACGCCUGCCCGGUGCCUGAAGGUUAAAAGGAGGGGUGAGAGCUCCGAAUUGAAGCCCAGGUAAACGGCGGCCGUAACUAUAACGGUCCUAAGGUAGCGAAAUUCCUUGUCGGGUAAGUUCCGACCUGCACGAAUGGCGUAACGACUUCCCCGCUGUCUCCAACGUUGACUCAGCGAAAUUGAAUUGCCUGUCAAGAUGCAGGCUUCCCGCGGUUAGACGGAAAGACCCCGUGCACCUUUACUACAGCUUCACACUGGCAUCAGGCCAAGCAUGUGCAGGAUAGGUGGUAGGCUUCGAAGCAGUGACGCCAGUCCCUGUGGAGCCUUCCUUGAGAUACCACCCUUGCUUUGCUUGAUGUCUAACCGCGGUCCGUUAUCCGGAUCCGGGACCCUGUGUGGCGGGUAGUUUGACUGGGGCGGUCGCCUCCUAAAGAGUAACGGAGGCGCGCGAAGGUUGGCUCAGAGCGGUCGGACAUCGCUCGUUGAGUGCAAUGGCAGAAGCCAGCCUGACUGCGAGACUGACAAGUCGAGCAGAGUCGAAAGACGGCCAUAGUGAUCCGGUGGUCCCAAGUGGGAGGGCCAUCGCUCAACGGAUAAAAGGUACGCCGGGGAUAACAGGCUGAUACUGCCCAAGAGUCCAUAUCGACGGCAGUGUUUGGCACCUCGAUGUCGGCUCAUCUCAUCCUGGGGCUGGAGCAGGUCCCAAGGGUACGGCUGUUCGCCGUUUAAAGAGGUACGUGAGCUGGGUUUAGAACGUCGUGAGACAGUUCGGUCCCUAUCUGCCGUGGGUGUAGGAUACUUGAGAGGAGUUGCCCCUAGUACGAGAGGACCGGGGUGAACGAUCCACUGGUGGACCAGUUGUUAUGCCAAUAGCAGUGCUGGGUAGCUAUGAUCGGACAGGAUAACCGCUGAAGGCAUCUAAGCGGGAAGCCCCCCUCAAAACAAGGUAUCCCUGAGAGCCGUGGUAGACCACCACGUCGAUAGGCCGGAGAUGUAAGCGUGGUAACACGUUCAGUUGACCGGUACUAAUGGCUCGAUAGGCUUGAUUUGA
rnacentral:rRNA from 1 species